rnacentral:rRNA from 1 species
GACGAACGCUGGCGGCGUGCUUAACACAUGCAAGUCGAGCGGAAAGGCCCUUUUGGGGGUACUCGAGCGGCGAACGGGUGAGUAACACGUGAGUAAUCUGCCCCUGGCUUUGGGAUAGCCACCGGAAACGGUGAUUAAUACCGGAUAUGACCAGCUACGGCAUGGUGGUUGGUGUAAAGUUUUUCGGCCAGGGAUGUGCUCGCGGCCUAUCAGCUUGAUGGUGAGGUAAUGGCUCACCAUGGCUUCGACGGGUAGCCGGCCUGAGAGGGUGACCGGUCACACUGGGACUGAGACACGGCCCAGACUCCUACGGGAGGCAGCAGUGGGGAAUAUUGGACAAUGGGCGGAAGCCUGAUCCAGCAACGCCGCGUGAGGGAUGACGGCCUUCGGGUUGUAAACCUCUUUCAGUACCGACGAAGCGCAAGUGACGGUAGGUACAGAAGAAGCACCGGCCAACUACGUGCCAGCAGCCGCAGUAAGAC